rnacentral:rRNA from 1 species
CUACGGGUUGCUCCAGUGAGGAAUUUUGCGCAAUGGGGGCAACCCUGACGCAGCAACGCCGCGUGAGUGAAGAAGGCCUUUGGGUCGUAAAGCUCUGUCAACAGGGAAGAAGUUACUAUGUAUUAAUAGUAUGUAGUAUUGACGGUACCUGUGGAGGAAGCAUCGGCUAACUCCGUGCCAGCAGCCGCGGUAAUACGGGGGAUGCAAGCGUUAUUCGGAAUCAUUGGGCGUAAAGGGCACGCAGGCGGCUCUGUCAGUCAGAUGUGAAAGCCCGGGGCUCAACCCCGGACGUGCAUUUGAAACAGCAGAGCUUGAGUACGGUAGAGGAAAGCGGAAUUCCUGGUGUAGAGGUGAAAUUCGUAGAUAUCAGGAGGAACACCGGUGGCGAAGGCGGCUUUCUGGACCGAAACUGACGCUGAGGUGCGAAGGCGUGGGUAGCGAACAGGAUUAGAUACCCCGGUAGUC